rnacentral:rRNA from 1 species
CACGUAGGGGACGAGCGUUGUCCGGAUUCAUUGGGCGUAAAGCGCGCGUAGGCGGCUCGGUAAGUCGGUCGUGAAAUGCCGGGGCUCAACCCCGGGACUGCGUCCGAUACUUCCGGGCUGGAGGUAGGUAGGGGAGAUCGGAAUUCCUGGUGUAGCGGUGAAAUGCGCAGAUAUCAGGAGGAACACCGGUGGCGAAGGCGGAUCUCUGGGCCUUACCUGACGCUCAGGUGCGAAAGCUAGGGGAGCGAACAGG